UGCGCAGGCGGCCAAGUGUGUCGGAGGUGAAAUCUUGCAGCUUAACUGUAAAAUUGCCUUCGAAACUACUUGGCUAGAGUAUCGGAGAGGAUGGCGGAAUUCCAGGUGUAGCAGUGAAAUGCGUAGAUAUCUGGAGGAACACCAAUGGCGAAGGCAGCUAUCUGGACGAUUACUGACGCUCAGGCACGAAAGCAUGGGGAGCGAAAG
rnacentral:rRNA from 1 species